rnacentral:lncRNA from 1 species
AUUCAAUACCGUGAUUAUGGUUCUUACUGGCUGAACUUGCAUGCCCUUUUAAAAAUAUUUUUGUGUCUUGUACAGAAAAAUGGCUUUAUUAUUUGAAUCUGGAAUAUGGGAAAGAAGACAAGAAAGUAAACAGAGUUCUAAUAAUACAUUUUCCCUUUUAACUUCGAUGUGUCAGUCAUUCAACCCUGGAAACCUAAGACCUAGUGAGCCUGAGAGAUGGCUGAUGGGAGCAAGAGAAGCCCUGCCUGAGAGGGAACUACAUGGCCAUUUGCUGGGAAUGGGCUCUGGAGAACUGAGGCUGGCCCUGGUAACUGCAGGAUCUCAAGAGAAGACGUGACACGGGGAGUGUGUGGACUCGUGCUGAGCAGUGCACUUUAUCAGUACCUGUAAUCCCUUCAUCACCUCGCUCAGUGUGCAGUAUUUACUGAACUGAAUCUGUAUCAAAUUUAAAACUGGGCUUGAAGCAAAUAGCUGAUGUGUUAGAAGACAAUACAUCAGGUGAAUCGUAAGUUUUCUUUGUUUAAUUUUACCUUUGUUAUCCUUUUAAAUGAAUGCAGUUUUUUUUUAAAGUACCUCAUAAGAUUUUUGCAAAAACUAAAUGAAAUCAUAUGAAACAAUUAACACAAUCAGAGCAUAGCAUUCAAUAAAUUCAUGUGAUAAUAAUGAUGAUACA